rnacentral:rRNA from 1 species
CUACGGGCUGCACCAGUGGGGAAUAUUGCACAAUGGGGGGAACCCUGAUGCAGCAACGCCGCGUGGAGGAUGACACAUUUCGGUGCGUAAACUCCUUUUAUAUAAGAAGAUAAUGACGGUAUUAUAUGAAUAAGCACCGGCUAACUCCGUGCCAGCAGCCGCGGUAAUACGGGGGGUGCAAGCGUUACUCGGAAUCACUGGGCGUAAAGAGCAUGUAGGCUGGUUAGUAAGUUGGAAGUGAAAUCCUAUGGCUUAACCAUAGAACUGCUUCCAAAACUACUAACCUAGAAUAUGGGAGAGGUAGAUGGAAUUUCUGGUGUAGAGGUAAAAUCCGUAGAGAUCAGAAGGAAUACCGAUUGCGAAGGCGAUCUACUGGAACAUUAUUGACGCUCAGAUGCGAAAGCGUGGGGAGCAAACAGGAUUAGAUACCCGUGUAGUC